GAAAAGUGGUUGUAGACGUAAGGGUAAGAUGACAAAACUGGAAGGGACUUCUAGCGCAAAUAGCCAAGGAGCUGAAGAGGAAAAGAGUUUUACGCCAUCGGCAAACUCUAGUUUAUCCCACGAUGGUCUUCAACUUUCACUAUGUUCAACGCCAUUGAAAAACGACUCCGGCAUAUCCAAUGAAUCGCAUCCGGAUUUAAAUUGUUCAACGUCAUCGGAAAAGACUCUCUCCGAUACAUCCAAAGAUGCGCUUCUAUUUUCACAAUCUUUACCAUCAUCGAUAAGCAGUGACUCAGGGAUAGCAAAAGAUGCGGUUAUACAUUCACAACCUUCAAUAACGUCGGAAAAACCUGACUUAAGGGUGUCAUAUGGUGCGGCGUAUAAUUUAAGAAGGAACAGUAAAACACCUGUGACUUUGCUUCAGGAACUUCUUUUAAAAAGGCAUGUUGUACCAAAUUUUGAAUUGAUUCACAACGGUGUUGGUACGCACCAGCCUACAUUUAAAUUUCAAGUCAGUGCAAUCGGAAAAAUAGCAUUUGGAAAUGGAAAAUCAAAAAAAGAAGCUAAACAUGAUGCUGCUCGUAAUUUCCUUCUAAUACUUAAAUCAGAGGAUUCAGAAUUACAACAUCUAGUGGAAGAAAGUGUCGUGGAUGAAGUGCGGCAUCCAUAUGCAGAAAUAAUCAAAGAUAAUGCUGUUGGAAGUCUGCAGGAAUUUUGUUCAGACAAAUUGUUGCGCAUGCCAGUGUACGCACUAACACGAGAUGAAGGAUUACCUCAUGAUAAGAUAUUUUGCAUAUCUUGUUCUGUUUCUUCCUUCAAAACUGAAGGACUAGCUAAGACCAAAAAGCAAGCAAAGCAGUUGGCUGCUCAAGCCAUGCUUGAAAAAUUGAAAGAUUGCCUACAAGAAGUUCCUGCCUUGGAAAAAAAUAAUGAGAUAAAACUCAUCAGAACAAGAAUAACAGAAAGGAUGCGUGGAAGGAAAUUAGCACCAGAAUGGGACUGUUGGAACUCUUGAAGCGAAAAUGAAAAAACUCUAAGGGGGCAAGCUGCCGAAACAGGCUGAAUUAUUCCAAAGUAAUGAAAUGCUACUGAGCUAGAGAAUAUCAAUAAAUUGAAUGCGCUUGUAAUUGAGAAGUUGAAAGAAAAAACACACCACCGAUGUACAAAUACAGGCCAAGUAG
rnacentral:misc_RNA from 1 species